AGGGAAUCUUCCACAAUGGACGAAAGUCUGAUGGAGCAACGCCGCGUGAGUGAUGAAGGUUUUCGGAUCGUAAAACUCUGUUGUAAGGGAAGAACCAGUACGUCAGGCAAUGGACGUACCUUGACGGUACCUUAUUAGAAAGCCACGGCUAACCACGUGCCAGCAGCCGCGGUAAUACGUAGGUGGCAAGCGUUGUCCGGAAUUAUUGGGCGUAAAGCGCGCGCAGGUGGUUUCUUAAGUCUGAUGUGAAAGCCCACGGCUUAACCGUGAGUGUCAUUGGAAACUGGGAGACUUGAGUGCAGAAGAGGAAAGUGGAAUUCCAAGUGUAGCGGUGAAAUGCGUAGAGAUUUGGAGGAACACCAGUAGCGAACGCGGCCAACUGGCUCGAUACUGACGCUGAGGUGCGAAAGCGUGGGUAGCAAACA
rnacentral:rRNA from 1 species